rnacentral:lncRNA from 1 species
GGGGGGCUGCGUCUGCACAGGUGGGAGCCGACGGGUGCUUGCGCCCGCGUCCGCCUGGGCCCGUGUGAGCCCCUGGUGGGGGGUGUCCUGCGUGCACCACGUGGGACGAGGGCCGCAGGCUUGUCUGGGACCUGCUGCUGCACGUGUCCGUCCCGCGAGGGGCCGGGUUCUGUGGUUUGGGGGCUCAGCUCCGCGUCAGGAGCUGAUAGUGCAGGCGUCUCUGCGACACAGCGUGCAGCUCCUGAGGCUUGACAGGGGGUUGGCAACUGUCCCGGGGCCGGCAGAGAGUGCAGGGUGCCUGCGUGUGUGUGUGUGUGUGUGUGUGUGUGUGUGUGUGCGCGCUGGGGGCACGCGGACAUGCAGGUGCCUGGAGUCCACGUGGGAACCCGCAUCGGGGCCGGUGGGUCAGGGUCCAUGGCUGCUGAGCACCACCAGGGCCGGCGGCGUGGGCAGGAUCCGCAUGCGGGGCAGGGGACGUGACUCUGCACCCGGCAAAGCUCGGGACACAGGUGUGGGAGCGUCACCGUGGAGCCGGGGCCGUCCCAUCUGUCUGCUCGUGUCCGUGGGGCGCGGGCUCCCGAGGAAAUCCCGUCCCCCCAGCCACCCAGCGCGGUCACACUCCGCCCGGAGACAACCUUGGACCAGGUGGAGCUUGGUUCCGUGUCCCGUGGCUCACAGGGGCACAUUGGAGCGGACAGUCCCGCGGUCACCCCCACAGGUGCUGUUACCGGGUCCCUGCUUCAGGGCGCUGACCCCAGCGAGGUCCGACCGGGCCCCCUCCGGCCGCACGGCCAGCAGCACCCACCGGGCUGCACAGCCCCUCGAGUGGGUUGGCAACGUCGCCGCGGGGUGGCCAAGGGGCGUGAGGCACUGAGAGGGCGGGCGUCCCGUCGUCCCAUCACAGGCAGCGGAGGGGGGGGUCCAUCUGCAGCCUCCUCCUCCCCCCCCGGGCUCUGGGCUCCACGGCCCCGUGAAAUCUUCGCAGGGUGAAAACCGCGUGUUCCUGCGUGAGGCGGGCCCUGGGCGGCGUGCAGGGCUGAGGCCGGGGAGUCCCGAGUCUCCCAAGGAGGCAGGAGGCCGACAAGGGACAGGAGCGGGCCCAGGGC